rnacentral:pre_miRNA from 1 species
GACAUAAACUCGAAGUAGAGUAGUUAUGUAGGGUCAGAUGAUCCUUCUAAUCUACUCUACUUCCAAUUCGGGCCC